CGGCGGUGCCUUUUGAGGGCACCGCCUCUUUGGCGCCGGGCAUGUCGGCGCCUUCUUUUUUGUCCGC
rnacentral:misc_RNA from 1 species